CUAAGUUCCAGAAUCGAGUGUCGUUGAGGAUCUGGAGACAAGAUCCUCCUGGAUUUAGAAUGGGCCCUAAACCCAAUGUCUGGGAUCCUUGCAAGAAGAGGAGACACGGAGAGACAGACGGCCACGUGAGACCUCCCCUUCACGCGCCUGCAAAUGGGAACUUUGGACUUCGUGGCCUUGAAGGAAAUGUGGGUGCAGGGGGACCCUUGUUGCCUGUGAGGAUCAAGGGGGCAGUGACCCCAACAGCCAUGUACAUCAUGGGCUCACUCUGACAGAUGCCCUUCGCGUUCAAACCUCAUGACCAUCCUUUGAGACAGGCGCUGGUGUUGUUCCCAUUGUACAGAAGGGGACACUGAGGCACAACAAGGAUUCAUACAGUGAAGCCCCGAUUCUGCACCUUGAGGAUAUGUGGAGACAGGGCCUUCAAGGA